UCCGUAGGUGAACCUGCAGACAUCCUGGUGGGAGGUCGGUUAUCUCCCAACCCCGUGUGAACAUACCAAUUGUUGCCUCGGCGGAUCAGCCCGCUCCCGGUAAAACGGGACGGCCCGCCAGAGGACCCCCAAACUCUGUUUCUAUAUGUAACUUCUGAGUAAAACCAUAAAUAAAUCAAAACUUUCAACAACGGAUCUCUUGGUUCUGGCAUCGAUGAAGAACGCAGCAAAAUGCGAUAAGUAAUGUGAAUUGCAGAAUUCAGUGAAUCAUCGAAUCUUUGAACGCACAUUGCGCCCGCCAGUAUUCUGGCGGGCAUGCCUGUUCGAGCGUCAUUUCAACCCUCAAGCCCAGCUUGGUGUUGGGACUCGCGAGUCAAAUCGCGUUCCCCAAAUUGAUUGGCGGUCACGUCGAGCUUCCAUAGCGUAGUAGUAAAACCCUCGGUUUACUGGUAAUCGUCGCGGCCACGCCGUUAAACCCCAACUUCUGAAUGUUGACCUCGGAUCAGGUAGGAAUACCCGCUGAACUUAAGCAUAUCAAUAAGCGGAGGA
rnacentral:rRNA from 1 species